GACCCGAAAGAUGGUGAACUAGGCUUGUGAAGGUUGAAGCCAGAGGAAACUCUGGUGGAGGACCGUAGCGAUUCUGACGUGCAAAUCGAUCGUAUAACGUGAGUAUAGGGGCGAAAGACUAAUCGAACUAUCUAGUAGCUGG
rnacentral:ncRNA from 1 species